GGGGAAUAUUGGGCAAUGGGCGCAAGCCUGAUCCAGCCAUGCCGCGUGAGUGAUGAAGGCCCUAGGGUUGUAAAGCUCUUUUGUGCGGGAAGAUAAUGACGGUACCGCAAGAAUAAGCCCCGGCUAACUUCGUGCCAGCAGCCGCGGUAAUACGGAGGGGGCUAGCGUUGCUCGGAAUCACUGGGCGUAAAGGGUGCGUAGGCGGGUCUUUAAGUCAGGGGUGAAAUCCUGGAGCUCAACUCCAGAACUGCCCUUGAUACUGAGGAUCUUGAGUUCGGGAGAGGUGAGUGGAACUGCGAGUGUAGAGGUGAAAUUCGUAGAUAUUCGCAAGAACACCAGUGGCGAAGGCGGCUCACUGGCCCGAUACUGACGCUGAGGCACGAAAGCGUGGGGAGCAAAC
rnacentral:rRNA from 1 species